AGUGAACGCUGGCGGUAGGCCUAACACAUGCAAGUCGAACGGCAGCACAGUAAGAGCUUGCUCUUACGGGUGGCGAGUGGCGGACGGGUGAGGAAUACAUCGGAAUCUACUUUUUCGUGGGGGAUAACGUAGGGAAACUUACGCUAAUACCGCAUACGACCUACGGGUGAAAGCAGGGGAUCUUCGGACCUUGCGCGAUUGAAUUAGCCGAUGUCGGAUUAGCUAGUUGGCGGGGUAAAGGCCCACCAAGGCGACGAUCCGUAGCUGGUCUGAGAGGAUGAUCAGCCACACUGGAACUGAGACACGGUCCAGACUCCUACGGGAGGCAGCAGUAGGGAAUAUUGGACAAUGGGCGCAAGCCUGAUCCAGCCAUACCGCGUGAGUGAAGAAGGCCUUCGGAUUGUAAAGCCCUUUUGUUGGGAAAGAAAAGCAGCAGGUUAAUACCCCGCUGUUCUGACGGUACCCAAAGAAUAAGCAACGGCUAACUUCGUG
rnacentral:rRNA from 1 species